GUUAGCUUUUACUAUUUAGGUCGGACGAAGCAUGGGGCAAAGAGUGGAAAUCAUAGCCGCCAGGCUGCUUGUGUACUUAAGGGUGGCCGGGAAGCAAGGAGGGGUUGAACCUUCACGCCCAAGACACGGAGGAGGAGGAGGAGGAGGAGGAGGAGGAGGAGGAGGAGGAAGAGGAGGAGGAUGAGGAGGGAAGGAAGAACUAGAAACACCGAGGGAAAACACGCAGGAAAAUAAACAUGGAAUUGCAUCACAGCCUUGACCGCCACGGACGUCUACCCGCCGCAAUGUUGGCCUGAAAAACAAUCAUCCAAAGUGGGAGAGUGGCGUUCAGCUCGCGUGUCUUGAUGCUGUCGUGUGGAGUUGGAGUAAAACAGGAGACUAAGGUGCAGGACAAAGGGGAUAUGGUGUCAUCAUAUGGCAUCGGAGUGUUCUGCCCACUGGGGCACGGAGAUGACAUCAACAUAUUAUUUAUAUGCUUAGUAUGUUUGUUUUAUCCUCUGACAAAAGGGGAAGAACAUUUUAUUUCCAAAAGGGGAAGAAAAUGUAUGUUUCCAAAUCAGGUUUCCAGCGAGAGCAGGGGUACAACUAUAAAGAAAUGAUAGCAAUGUACACUGAAAUCUGCAGUGCGUUGCUUCUGGCUGCCUGGUCCAAUUGAAGCAUUGGUAAGUCAAGUCACCCUUCUUAAUAUCUACAGUUUCUGCCACUGAAGUUGCUCUCUAAAACAGAGGGCAAUGUCGCUUGCAGAAUUGCGAACUGCUUCCUGAUUGGUUAAGGCGGUAGAGAUUUAAUUACGAAGACUUAAUGACGAAGUGAAAGAAAAUAGAAAUCCAGGUAUACUGUAUCAUCAGGCUACACUGAUUAGAGAUAGACACCUAACUCAACUACACAAUCAAGAGAAUUCCCUGGGGACACUUUGACCCUGUGUCAUUUUCUUCAUGUGCAAUGUGUUUGGUUGAUUGUGACCAGCUCUUCAACAAUAUGUGUGUGUGUGUGUGUGUGUGUGUGUGUGUGUGUGUGUGUGUGUGUGUGUGUGUGUGUGUGUGUGUGUGUGUGUGUGUGUGUGUGUGUGUGUGUGUGCGUGCGCGCGCGCGUGUGUGUGCGCGUGGAUUGAUUGAUUUACUCUAAGUAUAGGUUUGCCUGUGUUGAUUCUUCUCUGGGCGUGUUUAACCUCUACUUUGACGUGAGGCCGGCAGCCCAUCACCACGUCAUCGGUCUCCUUCACCGAGUGGCCAUGUUGGUUCUAAAUGCUAACUUGGAGAGUGGACCUGAGUGAGGAACAGUUCCCCACAGCCAGCUUACACUUAGAACCAAGGUGGAGCCGAUGGCCGCUACGUUACUCAGGCUCAUUGGUGUGUGUUACUUUCCCCUCGGGUACAGUUACCCAUGCUGGCUACCUCCGAAAGUCAUAGUUGGUACAAUCUGGCUUCUGUUGUCUGUUUUGCAUCACUCUGGGUCAGUUCCCUCUUUGAACCUGUUGCCGUGGUGGAGCGGUAUGUGUGUAAAUUGUGUGAGUGUGUUAACGUAACAACGUGCUUCAGAGUGCACUGCCUACAAACAGGUUUGAGCUGUUCCACCGAAUCAAUGGACUUCUUUCCAAUCCAGGCGGAGGGAGAAGCAAUAAAUCCUAAUUUGUAAGCUCUGGAUGCUUAAAUAUUAGUUAAACGCCGACAGCCGCAGACUAUCCAACAACGGCCCAAAGUCUAUUCAGAAGCCCACUCAGAUCUCCAGUAUGUGUGAAACCAUAGAAACACAUCGGCCACUGUUCCGCCAGCCAGAGAGGGGUUCCUGUGAGCCGCAGCACUUAGCAGAAAUACUGCAAUGACAGAUGCCUGAUCCAAGCUGCACAAGCGCCAGUGUUAAACGGUGGGGGGGGGAUUUAUGAAACGAGCCACAAAGAUGAGAUUACAAUGGAGCCAUUUAUUCCCCCCUUAAAUGUUCCGAAAAACAUUAUUUUAGCCGUUCCGCUGAAGAGCGGGUUGAAUUACGACCGUUCUUGUUUACACGUUGGCUCCUGAAAUCCACGACCUCGUGUAACAUAAAUUGUUUAAUUGGACAGCGGUAUAAAACAAGCGCGUUCAUCACAUCACGGAGAACAUGAAGUGGCGGUCUGGAUGAGACUGAACGUCUAGGUUAGGGGGGGUGGCGUCAUCACUUUGAUGUAUUCUAUUUAGGUUGACCAUGUGAUGUCAAACCCGUCGGUGCGGUGGCAUAGCCUAGUUAAGCCUUAACCUAGAUCCUAGUCCUAGUUCCAAAGACACUCCAAAUAAGACUUGGCCAACACGGAGCGUCGCUGUGCUAUUUUCAAUAAAGUUUAUCAAUCAAGUGGAGUUUCAAGCAAAGACUGCGUUAGAGAAGUUUGCACUUCUUGGCAGGGGUCCUGCUGGUUCAGCAACGACGACUAGAAGACGUGUGUCUGUCCUUGUGAUCAUAGAUACACAGAACAUGUCCGUCCCGAACGGCUAUUGCACCGAGCAUUAGCCGACGACCGAGCAAAAGCUUGAGCAUGGCUGGCCCUCGCUCGCCUGCCAAAGGUCUGGUUGACAAACACGAGCCAGGACGUUUGAUGUGCUGCAGACUUUGGACCGAACCUCGGAUCCUUUCAGUUUACUUCCCUUUGUCAAACAACGAGCCUCUGGCUUGUCAAGCGCAGGUCACCGGUGAUUAAACCGCGUUCCCCAGGGCCUCCUCUCCCCUCGGUGCCCGUUGCUAUAAAAGGGAACAGAGGGGAGAGACGCCGAUGCACAGACCUUGAACCAGACGCUGUGAGUCAUCCUCGCAGCCAUUAUCUGUGAGCUAAUGCGGCCUGGUGGAUAUGGGAGCGGAUGGGCCUAAUUCCUCCAGAUAUCAUCGCAGCGGUUGCUCCCAUUAAAAGGCAGUACUCUGAUUGUGUGGAUCGUCCGGGGCUCGUGCAAGACGGCAGGCUAGUGGGGGGGAAGGGUGUCCUUAUAUGGUUUGAUGUGCGAAGGAAACAUUAAAUAAACAACUUGGCGCGGGAGGAUUGAUGCUUUUUCCACGGCAUGUGGUUGGCUGUCUUCUCCUCGGCCGCCCACGCCGUUCCGUUACCCCGCGCCCUUUCCCCCUCCUCUCCUCCUUUCCGCCGCCGAAACGUUCCCACCUUCCCUCCUCCACCGAAACCCCGCUUGCCUCCAUGUCUCCCUCCCUCCUUCACCCCCCCCCAGUGCGUUCAUGUAGGUCAUGGCUUGACGAGAAGGUCUCCGUGGCGCUGAGAGGCGGAGGCGGCGGGGGAGGGCCGGGGUGGGGGUGAGGGCGGUAUUGUACCUGUGUAUUCAUAUUAGAUGAGGGGCAGCAAUAAUGGAUGAGCCCGUGGGUAACCUGACGCCCCUGGACACGGUGACUUGGGUCCAACGGCACCCCUCCACCCACCACCUCCUCCCAGGCCUCCUCCUCCUCCUCCUCCUCCUCCCUCUUCCUCGCCCCUACCACGAGAGGCCGAGCCCUUCCUUAGGAGAUGGCGGCCAUGACGGCUGCAGCUGAGCUCCAUCACGUUCCAAACCAAUCGGCAACGAGCGACGACCUGUGGCACCGCAAUAAAACGACAGUAGCUGCGAGUCUCAAGAAUCAGACAUAAGAUUAAUAAUCCAAAACGUUAAAGCAGAUGAACUGAGAUCCGGGUCAAUGGGCGUUUCCCGUCAUGUCUAGUCCUUUUUGUUUCGACCUAUCGUGUAGCUCGAGGCGGCGGUGUGAGCGUGUGAUUGGCUGUUAACGGCCAACAGCGUCUCGGUCUAUCUGUUGAGGGUUCAUAAAAAUGGAAUGUGGAAAUACACUUCUUCGUCAUCGCCUCACACAACUGAGUGUCAUUUGUGUGAAUGAAUAUUUUGUGACGGAAAAUGAAACCAGUUGUAACACGGGCCCUGGCAGGUCUCGGUCUCCAGCUAGGGCUCAGCAGUUCUGCUGUAACGUCGCCGGACGCUGGCCCUCUGAUCAGCGGGUCAGAGUGACCAGGGUGGGCGUAACUCCCGGUGGGAUGCGCCGACCAGGACCUUAGGAUCCCGUCCUCAUAAGGCCCUACCAGGCUGGCCCUGAGUUCAUUCAUAUGUUCACAUAACCUCCUCAGCGACUGCUUUCAGGUUGACAGAAACCUGCCAAACCGGUCUGCUUAAGCUCACUCGUUACUGCCAGAUUUUCCUUGAUGAAAAGGUCAUGUUCAUUUAAAUUAUUUCAACCUUUUUUAUAAAAAUGCAGCAGAUGAAAACAAUAAAUCAUCAUCAAAAGUUGGAACGAAAUGAGCUGAUUCAAUGGGCCACGUUGGAGAGAUAUUUUGUCCUUGCAGAUGAAUAUCACCGCCGUGUGUGGAAGAGCCCCCCACCCCCCUCAACAAAGCAGGCCUGUGUGUGUGCAGACAGCUGCUGUGUCCGGGCUCCGAGCUCCUCUCUACAGCAGGCGCUGGUAACCCGACCCGGCCUCCCACCUUACAGUAGCAAUCAAUGACCAGAGUUAGACACACGACACUGGGGCCAUGAGCAAGUGUGACAGAUGGAAAACAGGGUCGCUCUGAGUGUGUGUGUGUGUGUCUGUGUGUGUGAGACGAGUGUGUGUGUGUGUGUGAAUGUGUAUGAGUAUAUGUGUGUGUGUGUGUGUGUGUGUGUGUGUGUGUGUGUGUGUGAAUUUGUGUAAGUGUGCGUUUUUGUGUGUGUGUGUGUGUGUGUGUGUGUGUGUGUGUGUGUGUGUGUGUGUGUGUGUGUGUGUGUGUGUGUGUGUGUGAGGGUGAAUGGGG
ensembl:lncRNA